ensembl:lncRNA
UAAUUUCUCAAAUUUAAUAAUGGGCAGUUUUUUUUAACUUACAUAUCCUAUAUGGAAAUAACAGACAUGAGCAUGUUUCAUUUAGUUAGUUCUACCACCUCCACAUUAAUUUUAAACCGGGUUAAAUUUAAGGUUGUAGUAAAGUUCCGCGUCAGUCCACAGGGGGCGCUGUGUCACUGUCAGAAGAUACAGUAGGAUCCCUUAUUGAUGUCACUUGUUAAAUCCACUUCAAUCAGUGUAGAUGAAAGGGAGGAGACAGGUUAAAGGUUAACCUGGUUAUAUCAAAAGAUUUAAGUGCCUUUGAACAGGUUAUGGUAGUAGGUGCCAGGUUAUGGUAGUAGGUGCCAGGUUAUGGUAGGAGGUGCCAGGUUAUGGUAGGAGGUGCCAGGUUAUGGUAGGAGGUGCCAGGUUAUGGUAGGAGGUGCCAGGUUAUGGUAGGAGGUGCCAGGCACACUGGAUUGAGUGUGUCAACAACUGCAAUGUUGCUGGGUUAUUCACACUCAACAGGCUCCCAUGUGUAUCAAGAAUGGUCCACCACCCAAAGGACAUCCAGCCAACUUGACACAACUGUGGGGUGGGAUGGACGCAAUAUUAGGAAGGUGUUCUUAUUGUUUGGUAUACUUAUGUUACACAUCAUACAGGCCUACAUUAUGUUACACAUCAUACAGGCCUACAUUAUGUUACACAUCAUACAGGCCAACAUUAUGUCACACAUCAUACAGGCCUACAUUGUUACACAUCAUACAGGCCUACAGUAUGUUACACAUCAUACAGGCCUACAUUAUGUUACACAUCAUACAGGCCUACAUUAUGUUACACAUCAUACAGGCCUACAUUAUGUUACACAUCAUACAGGCCAACAUUAUGUCACACAUCAUACAGGCCUACAUUAUGUUACACAUCAUACAGGCCUACAUUAUGUUACACAUCAUACAGGCCUACAUUAU